GUUAUAAUAGUUUAUUUAUAAAACUUUGGUCUUGUAAACCAAAAAAAGAUUAAAAUCUUUAUAACU
rnacentral:tRNA from 1 species